GGCUAGGUGGAGGGUGGGGAAAUCUAAGACCAAAUAUGAUCCAAAUGCUCUUGAACUCGAUGAAAUAUAGUGACAAAAAUCUCUGUGCUGGUUUGCUAAGAAAUCAUGAUCUCCUCAGCUCAUCAAAGAAUUUUAGCAGCCUCUCCCUUCAACUGAUCAAUCACCUGAGCUGUCCCAAGCUGCCUCUUCUCAAAAAUUUUCAAGCUUUGAAAUAAAUUGCUGAUCUGCCUGCUCAAUGAAUCAAAAAAUCCUUUAGUGGAUGUCCUCUGCUCAUCAAGACUCUGUGAUAUGUACUGCUGAAGAACUGAAGAGUCAGUCCUCUGUUCUGCGAUAGGUCUGUGGUCUACAACUCGCUCCAAGCUCUCAAGCCUCAGUGUGAUUCUGAACAAAUCUCCAUAGAGCUACUGUAUCCGGGACUGAGUGAGCUCCUAAGAUGCCUCGUGGCUCUAUA
rnacentral:lncRNA from 1 species